ensembl:lncRNA
ACUGAGAAGUGUUAGAAGUGAGCUCCAGGAAAGUGAUCCACUUAUUUAUAGACUUUUAAUUAGAAUGGCCCUAUGGAGGUUUUAACAGUCCAAAUGACGAAAUCUCCCCCUCUUUCUGUGUCUCUCUCCUGCCAGCCUGCUGUCCCCACCCCCUGCAGCUCUGUUUCAGUCCUCGAUCCCUCACUGGCCCCCUCCUUUACCACACCCUGCUCUCAAGUUAUGAUGCACUUCAUGGGAAGCCUACUUCUGCCCUACAUUGCCACUGGGACUCCAUCACAGCUUUCCAAAUCGUACGUUGGGUGAAGCAUCAGCUGAACGUUUGUGGGCUAUCUGGAAUCUGGAGGAGCACGGACUCCUUCCUGGUCAAUGGGGUGGCAGAGGGCGAGGCAGAAGGUCAACUCUCUCAGAGGCAUCUCGGUGUCGAGGAACAAAAAAAUGCAGAGCUGAUUGACCCGGAUCUGCCUGAGGAUGAGAGUAAACAGAGGAACAGGGGUCGGCCUCGUGUUAUGAAGGAAACCUCUGGUCACGCUCCACUACUUUGCUCUGGAACUGUUUUUGAUUGGUUUAACGUAUACAUUCAAAUGCAUAUUUGACAGUGAAAGCGCCAUUGUAAUAUUAUAUUUUUAGGAGCGCUCGGGCUUCUUGUCAAUCUCAAGUUGAAAUUUUGGAUUUGUUGCGAGAG